rnacentral:rRNA from 1 species
UACGGAGGGGGCUAGCGUUGUUCGGAAUCAUUGGGCGUAAAGGGCGCCUAGGUGGCCAAGCAAGUCGGGUGUGAAAGCCCUCGGCUCAACCGGGGAAUUGCAUCCGAGACUGCUCAGCUUGAGUCCUGGAGAGGGUAGCGGAAUUCCCAGUGUAGCGGUGAAAUGCGUAGAUACUGGGAGGAACACCGGUGGCGAAGGCGGCUACCUGGACAGGUACUGACACUGACGCGCGAAAGCGUGGGGAGCAAACGGG